CAACUAUCUUGCCUGCAGCUCUGCAUUUAGGGACACCCAAAUUGGAAGAGGACUUACUGGUCCUUUCAAGGGGGAGACGGAGGCUUUCAAGGAUGCUGUGCUAAGAAGGGUCCCAGCAUUCAGCCUGAGCCCCAGGUUCUGCUCAGAAACACCAACCCACAGCUUUUGCAGGCCUGCAGAGACCAAGACACCUCACCACGCCCUCAAAGAGCCAGAGGAAUGUUGGACACUGUGAAACCGUAGAGGCGAGUCACCCCUGGGAACACAUAGGCCAGGAUACGCCGGUCAAGCUGGAACGCGAUCUCCCCAACGAUUCGGCCAUCCUUCUCAGCACCCGAAAAACUCUGGAUCUCUGGAUGCUGUUCUGCCACCCCACCAACUCAGCCUUCUCUGAGGACAGCAGGAGACAUCACAGCCUGGAUCUGGAAAGAGCCAGCCUCUUCCAGUCUACAGCAUUGCCACCAAAGACAGGCCAAUGUCUGAAAGGUCAGUAUCAGCCCUAUCUCGCCCAUGUCUGUGGAGAGGAUAGAUGGGCUGACAGAAGAGUCUCUUUUUAUUCUUCUUCUUCGACUUCUCGGGACUACCCUGCACCCCCCUGAAAACUGCUCCCAAAUAACUCCUCUCUAUACAACAGCUCCUGGUGUCGUCAUAGAAAUCAUUAUUAAGCAAUGGAGUCCGUAUCCAUAGCCUUUGAAAACCUCGUGCUCUUUGGAAAAUGAACCUCAUCUGAAUUUAAAAGGCCUGUAGAAAACACUCUUCUAUCUACAGGGUCCGUGUUGGCCACUUACACUUGGAUGCGUGUAAGCUGUACAGUAGCUCUCGGUUCAAUUCCCACAUUACAGAGCCCAGGAUGGCAGCACAAGUGACUUAGCCUAGGGAGCCCCACGUGCUACACCCCCCACACACAUGCUGAUCUCAUUUAGAGGCAUUACCCCUGACUGAGCUGCACACGUCCAUUCUGACAGAAGACAGAGGACAAUAUGCUAACACUCAGGCAACACCUGAGACUCACACCACUGACAGGAUCUCAGUUUGGUAAGGUCCUGUGCGUCUGACCCAAAGGCUCCCACAUUAUUGAAAAUAAUGCCACAUGGCUCAGAAAAUCCAGGUCCUGUGUGAGUUAUGAUUGUUCAACACCCACACUCAAGACACUGAUAACCACAUAGAGACAUGGACCCUGGACCCUCAUCCCUGCUGGAGGUGCCUUGUGACCUUAAGCUUUUGAGAGGUGACCCAGAAUGACUUGUUAUCCUCCUGACCAUCAUGGGGACACUAGUGGGCAGGCCCCAGGGCUAGUUCUGCCUAUAUGACCUUGGUCAAGCGGUCGUCCAUCAGGUAUCAAGUUCUGAGCCAGGGUCUGUGAUACACACUAACUAGACAUUACUGUGCUGAAAAGCAUGUAUAACUGUGAAUACCAGUGAGUGAGACAACCAGGAAGAAGCUUAGAUAGACAGGAAAAACAGGAGCCUCCAACUUGGACUCACAGAAUAGGGAUCAGGGCAGAUGAGAAACCAGGCCGUUGUUGUAUAUAAUUGGGCACUUGGAAGUUGCAUCAGCUGGCCCGUCCCUUGCAGGGUCAGCCUUUCCGACCAGUGCUUUCAGAAGCACUGUCACUGCCAGACAGCUCAGAGAGGUUGAGGACACAUCUCCUGCCCUCCCGCAGAGUCCCAGGUGGCAGAAGCCAAAGACUUUGGGUUCUUGGUACCUGCAGAGCUAUACUCUCUCCAGCGUCUUCUGAGGAAAACACCCAGCGGGCAUAGACCAGUAUAGAGAGUGAACUUUGCUAUUCUCUGUGACCUUGGCUCAGCUACUUGGAAGAAGAGAUCGCUCUCAAAGUGACCCUUGUGACAAGUAGUGUCCUUCCAAGCAUAGGAAACCAGCAAGCAGCCAGGCCAACAGCCCUCAGAUGUGCACCCUGCUUUCAUUUCUUAACUUUGGAACAGUCGGUUCGCCCAUGUGAGAACCCUCAGAGGGUCCCAGUACAGCUGAGGCUGGGGUCACCUGAUUGCCCAGUCAAUUAAAAAUCCUUUAUCAGAACGCAACUUAUAUACUAUAAGCCCUCCCUCUUUCAAGCAGCUGAUUCUAUGAUCACUAUUAUACACAGAGAGUCUUACAGCCAUUACCACUAUCUCUUGCCAGAAGUUUCCAAGACCUCCCAAAGCAAACGAUUCUAUUCCCAGUCGCUCUUCAAUCUCCAGCCCUUGUGACUACCACUCUCAUGGAUUUAUCAAGGAUGGGCAUGUCACAUAGGUGGAGCUACACAGUGGGCCCCCUUUUACAUCUGACAUCAUCCAGUUAGCAUGUUUCCAGGGCCCAUCGUUGUAGCAUGCCAGCGAUUCAUUAUUUCUAUUGGCGUUUGAAUAAUACCCCAUCAUAUAAACAAGCAAUAUUGUAUUCACCUGCCUGUCAGCUGAUGGGUGUUUGGGUUGCUUGCCUCUUUGGACUAUUAUGAAUGAAGCCUUAGUGGACA
rnacentral:lncRNA from 1 species